UUAAUUUUAAUGAUAUGAAUCAUUUCCUUUAAAAUCAAAAUUUAAUGUGCCUUACACCAAAAAUUA
rnacentral:tRNA from 1 species